AACCCCCCAGUGACCCAAAUGCUAAAACCCACACAACCGUUUUCGACGGCUCACCCUGGAAAGAGCAACCAAAAUUCUCAAAAGCAUUUUUGGCGAGGUAAGCUUGUAAAGCUGAAAUUUUCUACCUUGAAAAACUCGACUAUCAGAAAAUUUAGAAUUCGCAAUCCGAUUAUGGGAGGCUCCCAGAGCAGGUCAGCAAUGCUGGCAUGGAGGAGUUUUUGCAAUAUUUCUCAGAGCUGACUGGCAGAAGGUAACAAUUUGGGAAGUGGAAGUAUCUUGGGGGUUCUGAACGGAGAGCCUCUGGUUAUGAAGCUGGCGAAAUACGGUGUGCUUCCUGGAGCCACGACUGCCCUAGGUUACUCUCCUCCCGGUUAUAUUUCACCCAAGAAACCGUCUGAUUUUAACUCCCACAAUUCUUCUUCCUAGUAGAUUCAAAGGCUUUUGGCUGACUAAACGUGCAUCUUUUCAUUUCCCUGGAUGAAUAUGGUAUGUGAUAAUUGUUGCUGCUGUGUACCUGUUGAAAGCAAUCAGGAUUUUGCGUUUCCGUAUUUCUUAAAGAAAAUUGUUGCUUUCCUAUUAUGUCAUGCCUAUAUUUUAAUCCAGUCCUUAUGCAUACUGAUGUCCUUUCGUUUCCCAUCAUGUCCUAUGUCCGAUAUCCCAUCAUUCGCUUUAUAUCGACCCAGCAAAACUUCAUAUGUCAAAGCAAUCCCCUUUCACAAAGUUCCUAUGUGGAUUUGUCCCAGAGGUACUAUGAGGCCCUCAAAACUUCUGCUUCUCAAAAAUCAAUAUUUGUUACUCAAAAAAUCCAUGCUCAGAUCGUUGUCUCUGGUCUUUAUUCUUCGACAUUUCUUCAAAACCAUCUGAUCAACUCGUACUCGAGGAUUGGAAUAGUCAGUGAUUCUGUGAAAGUUUUUUCAGAAACUGAAUUUCGAAAUGUAUUUAGUUGGAAUACAAUGAUUAAUGGGCUGGCAGAUUCUGGUUUGAUGAAAGAAGCAGAAAAGCUGCUUGAUGAAAUGCCUGAGAAAGACUCUAUUUCGUGGAACUCGAUGAUGUCAGGUUACUUUAAUAAUGGGAAGGUCAGAGAUACGAUAAAAGUGUUUGUCUCAAUGAUAAAGGAUCGCCGUUGUAUUCCGGAUUUGUUUUCUUUUUCUUGUGCAAUGAAGGCUUGUGCAAGUCUCGGGUAUGUGAAGCUUGCUUUUCAGCUUCAUGGUUUAGCUGCGAAGUUUGAAUUUCGGAAAGGUAAAUCAAUCAGUUCAUCCAUAAUUGAUAUGUAUAUAAAAUCAGGUGAAUUGGACUGUGCUGAGAGAGUGUUUUCUAGGAUAUCUGGUCCUAAUUUAUUUUGCUGGAAUAGCAUGAUUCAUGGGUAUUCCAAAUUUCAUGGUAUCCAAAUGGCUCUUGAUUUGUUUAAUCAAAUGCCUGAGCGCGAUGUUGUUUCCUGGAAUACCAUGAUUUCUGUCCUAUCUCAACAUGGGAUUGGAAAGCAGACACUAAGUAUGUUUGUUCAAAUGUGCAAUCAAGGUUUUGUACCAAACUCAAUGACCUAUGCUUCUGUUCUUAGUGCAUGCACGAGCACCAGUGAUUUGUCAUGGGGUACUCACUUACAUGCUCGAGUUCUUCGGAUGGUGCCAAAUCUUGAUGUCUAUAUUGGCAGCGGUUUGAUUGAUAUGUAUGCAAAAUGUGGAUGGCUGGAAUAUGCAAAGCGGGUUUUUAGUGACUUAAAAGAGCCGAAUGAGGUUUCAUGGACUUCUUUAAUUGGGGGAGUUGCUCAAUUUGGUUGUGGAGAGGAAGCUCUGGAGAUAUUCAAAAAGAUGAGGGAUGUUCCGAUGGCACCAGAUGAAUUUACUGUUGCUACUGUUAUUGGAGUUUGUUCAAGUUUAAAAGAUAAAUCUCUUGGGGAACAGAUCCAUGCAUAUGUAAUAAAGAUAGGAGUGCAAUCCUCUGUGCCCGUGGGAAAUGCUCUUGUCACAAUGUAUGCAAAGUGUGGAAAUGUUCCAAAUGCAAACCGUGCUUUUGAGUUUAUGCCAGUCAAGGAUAUUAUAUCUUGGACAGCUAUAAUUACUGCAUUUUCCCAGGAUGGAAAUGUCAAAAAAGCAAGAGAACAUUUUGAUAAAAUGCCUGAACGUAAUGUUAUAACUUGGAAUUCAAUGUUAGGCACAUAUAUGCAAAAUGGCUUCUGGGAAGAGGGUCUCAAACUUUAUAUUAUCAUGCUUAGAAGACGAGUUAAACCAGAUUGGAUUACUUAUGCAACUUCACUCAGCGGCUGCUCUUAUUUGGCAGUGAUGAAACUUGGAAACCAAAUCAUGGCACAAGCUGAAAAAGAUGGUUUUAGUUCAGAUGGGACAGUUCUCAAUAGUGUCGUCACUAUGUAUUCAAGGUGUGGACGAAUUGAAGAUGCACAAAAGGUUUUCGAUUCUAUAAUUACGAAGGAUAUUGUUACUUGGAAUGCUAUGAUGUCUGGUUAUGCUCAGAGUGGUCAAGGUAGGAAAGUGAUCGAGAUUUUCGAAGAAAUGUUAAAAUUAGGAUUCACGCCUGAUCAUAUAAGCUACGUGUCCGUUCUAUCAGGUUGCAGCUAUUCUGGACUCGUACCUGAAGGUCAUUAUUAUUUUAAUUUGAUGACCAAAGGUCAUGGUAUCUCUCCAACAUGUGAGCACUAUGUCUGUAUGGUAGAUCUUCUUGCACGAGCAGGUUUGCUGGAGCAGGCCAUAAAUUUGAUCAAGGAAAUGCAGCUGGAACCAAAUGCUGCUGUUUGGGGAGCUCUGCUUGGUGGAUGUCGCAUCCACGGAAACACUGAAUUAGCAGAAGUUGCAGUGUCAAAUUUAAUAAACAUAGAUGUGGCCGAUUCUGGAAGCUAUGUCCUUCUGGCCAACCUUUAUUCUGACUCUGGAAAGUUAGAAGGUGUUUUGGAUAUGAGAAAAAUAAUGAGAGAGAAAGGAAUAAGGAAAAAUCCAGGCUGCAGCUGGAUUGAGGUUGACAACAGGGUGCAUGUGUUCACUGUAGAUGACACCGGCCACCCUCAAAUCAAGGAUGUCUACAGAAUGUUGGAGAAGAUUAUGGAAAUGGUAGAGAAUACAGGAAAAUACAUCUAUGAAAAGUAUUCUGAGAGGCCAAGGAGCUGCCACAGCGAGAAGCUUGCAAUGGCUUUUGGGUUGAUGACUUUGCCAUCUUGGAUGCCUAUUUAUAUAAUGAAGAACCUACGAAUAUGCCAGGAUUGUCAUUUGGUGAUGAAGUUGAUAUCCUUUGUUACUUCAAGGGAACUUAUCAUAAGGGAUGCAAAUAGGUUCCAUCACUUCAAGGAUGGUUCUUGUUCUUGUGGGGAUUACUGGUAGUCCAGUACAUGAAGUUCUCUUCUUCAAGUUGAGUUAAAUUUUAUUAGCAUUCUUCGAGGUUUUAGCCACAUGUCUGCCAAUACAUAUGAGUAAAUGCACCACAGGAUGUUCGGCCCCUUUGGCUCAAGGCAUUUACCCUUUUUA